rnacentral:SRP_RNA from 1 species
GCCGAGCUUUGUAACGUAAGCUUGUAAUCCAAGUGGAGGCUUAAAUGGUAAUGGAACGUUGUUUCAGUACCUUUGGUCGGGCUCUGGAUUAGGGUAUAUACUGAUCUGCCCAAUCCAAGUCAGAAGUUGAGUCAUGUGGCUUAGGCGAAGGCUUGAGCCAAAUGGGUUCUUAGAGUGGGGGGCAAUGCGUGCUAGGCUGGUUUCACAGAACAGCGAACACCUCCCGUUUCUGGCAGUGGAUGGACUACGGGUUAGAUCCUUCCCAGUCCAAUGUGGCCUUAUGGUCUGAUCACAAUUGAACCAUUACCUUU